rnacentral:lncRNA from 1 species
UUAUUAAGUAACAAAUUCGGGUGGGUCAAGGGCAGAGUAACCAAGAGAUCUCAGCAAGCAUGAGGGAGAUUCAAGGAGCUGGCAUUGUGUGACUGGGGACAGAAAAGCCCUCAUGCAGGCAGGCGGGUCACAAUUGUUCCCUUCAGAUUUCUGAGGGGCUGCCUUGGUGGGAGAGGGGGUAGUUCAGUUCUGUGGGGCUCCAGGGGGCAAAAGGCAUGAUAAAUGAGUAGAAGUCAUGGAGAGGUGGAGCUUGCCUCCAGACAGAAUGCUAAGAAGGAUGCUGCUGCACAGUGGGGACUGAGCCAACUCACUGUUCAACAAAUAAGCAUUGGAGGGUCUCUAGUUCCAUAGAAAGAAGGCAAAUGAAGAGGACAGAAGAAGGAGAGAGACCUUCCCACCCCAUCAGCCCUAUGCUGCAGAGAGUUAAGUGAAGACAUAUGAUGUGCUCUGGCCAAUGAAAUGGAUCCCACAUCUACUUCUCUUGCAGAAACCAACUGGUGGAAGUGACCUUCUCAUGGAGUGUCCUUCACAAUCCUGGUGGAAGUCACAGGCCUGCCCAAGCUGGAGGACUGUCCCAUUCCAACAAGUGAAGGAGCUCUGCAGGGCCAUCUUGGAGCCUGGGGAUGUUCCUGGAGAGCACACAGACACACAACCAUGAACUUGCUCAGUGCUGCCAACUCCAUUCAGGAUGAUGGCUGCCCACUCAUACCUGCAAUGGGUCAUGGACUGGGAAGCUGAUGAAACUGCAACUGGCAUGGGCUGCUGGGAGCCACCAUACAUGGAGGAGAGUGAUGGCUGAUUCACAAUUUAUUGUGAUCCCGGCAUGACACAAUGCAGAAGAGUUUGGAUUUACUGGCUCAGGGGUAAACUGUAGAUUAUUCACUGCGUCCAUUUCACUGGCUGAACCAGGAAGCAAUUCCUGGGUCCAUCUGUCAGAAUCUCUGAACUGGGAGGAGGAGAAGAAUGAAGCACGGACAGCUGACCAGCCAGGCAGUCCCCAGAGCUGCCAUGCACUCUGCAGCACGCUUCCUGGGUCUUCAUUCCAAUCAGUGGGACAGUUUCACGCAUAAAUCCUUACCCGAUGGUCAGAUGUGGUCUCCAUCUGCUUUCCUGACCUCACUUGUCUUCUUUAAAGAGCAGCGACUCAGAAUAAUAAAGAUCUUUAUUUGCA